CCCGUUCCCAUCCCGAACACGGCAGUAAAGACCACCAGCGCCGAUGGUACGCGGGCCGCAGGGCCCCCGGAGAGUAGGACAGCGCCAGAA
rnacentral:rRNA from 1 species